UCUGAGCAGCUCAUCAUUUUUAAUGUCUUUUCCUGCACAACACUGGCAGUGCUUUUGCCAAGAUCAACAUCUAAUCCCCGGCUUCCCAAAGAGUUCCCUGGCAGGUGGCGAGUUAGGCAAGAGCAGUCUCUAGCUCGCACCCUGGCAGGUGAAACCUGACCUCAGCUGCUUGUCCUCCUGCCUUCUGGGGUCUUGACCCUUCGCAGCCGGAGAAGAAAAGGACUGAGCUGGAAAAAAACCAAACAGAAUCAGAUAACUUACUGGCUAAGCGUGGCUCUGCAUCAGUCUCGUGCCUCGGCACUCCGGGGGUACCGGACGGUGACAGGGUUGAGAGCUCUGCCAAGGUCUGAUGCUGUCCCACCAGGCUGUGUUCACACCUCUGUCCAGGUGUUGGCUCAGAGGAGAGGGACGUGGCAGCCCAACACACACCGUGCUGCAGCAGAACCUGAGGCUGGAGGGCACCCAGAGACUGAACUUCUCCAAGGCCCAUGGUAGCUGCAGGGCUAGGAAACAGUGAUGAGGGGCACACGGUGGGAACUCGCACACUCCUGAUGUCUCCUCUGUGGAUGAACCACUCCAGCUUCCAGCUCUCCUGGCUGCUCGCUGCCUGCAAGCUCAGAAACAACGGCAGCAAAAAUGCCAUUGUUGUAGCACAGCGCUAAGAACGACAAAUUUAUGAAAGCAAUUUCCUUGCCAGGCUGCCAGAAUUCAAGGAGAUUUCUGAGACAAGGAAAUGCUUUGGUUCUUUCAGGUGGGAAUCACUGCAUUAACCUCCCUCUUGAAAACAUAACAGCCUUCCCUUUGCGGAGAGGGGUGGGUGCAUACAGGUCUGACCAAGAAAGGUGCAGUCUGCUUCUCUAACUUAGCCAGCAACCAGCCGCCGCCCUGAAAAAUGGUCUUGCCUCCAGCUUGUGUUUUUCCCAGCAAUGGUAAGAGAGAGAUAAGACAUAAAGCCAGCAGCUCCUUCGUUUAACUGUGAGGAUCUAACAGGGUGUUUACUUGAUUCCAAGGGAUUCCACAGCUCUCUUUGCAUGGGAGGAUAAUAGAUUCAAUUUGGCUUCUGGGCACCAGCAGGAGCUCACCCAGAGCCCAGUGUGUGCACCUGAAGUCGUGGAUUGUCACCCUCUGUGCACUAACAAUCCAGUAAACAGCACAGAUCGGUGCAACAUAGAACAACCACCUCCUACUAUUCUGUGGUUACUGAGCAAAAAGCACAAUCAACCAGGCAAAUACCAUGCCUUGAAGACAGGUUUUAGGCAAUGCACAUCAACAUGUUUGGUUUAUUUAACUGGUGUAUUUUAAUACUAUUUUCCAUCUACUCUUAGCAACUCAGCAUUUGUUCCAGCAGGUCCUAUGUCACUGCUUUGAGUUCACUCCGGGAUUCUGCUCAGCUCUACUCUGGCUGCAGAAAAAAUGACCCCCACUGACUCUAAUGAAGUCUCUUUAUUGCUGUUUAAUCCUGCGUGUGUGCCUGGCAGCAGACUAUCAGCCCUGGGGACAAAAGGGCUCUAUUUCCCCACAAAUGGGUACUUUCAGAGAGCCUUUCCCCAGUGCUGGGGGAAGGUCACCCAAGUGCAUUCAGGUGACUGGCGGGGAUGGCUGUGGAGCCAGGAGGGCUCAGCUGGAGAGGUCGGACAGCACAACUCACCAUAGACAGAUUAGCUGGUAAGACUCAAGCAGUUAACCUUUGGCUCCUCUGCUUCAGUUAGUGGUGGCUGUGAUGGAGCUCAGGAUCCAUCCCUUAGGAUCUGACUGACGUCACCAGGGAUUUAAAGCUCCAGUCAUGGCUAACCUAGGCUAGAUCUGAACUAGAGAUCUUCAAAACCCAUUUUAAACUUGCGUUUUAUUAAAAGGCUGAGCUGUACUUUCUACUGGGAUCCUUUUGGAGUGAGAAGGGUAGUGGGUAGGUCCAUAAAAGAACCUACAUGUGAAUUCCUGCUGCAACAACUGAGUGGUUGCUGACUACACAGGAACGUCUCUGCACACUCUUUUCCUCUGCAAGGGCUGGAAGUUGCUCUACCAGGGGAAUUUUUUGCUUUGUCAAAAUUCCAGUGCUCAAGCUGGGCAGCAGAGCUCCUCUGCAAUCGAGUUUUAAUCUUUAGCAUACAACAGACCUUCCAGACAAUUUCUGAGAUGCAUCUCACUACAGCAACUUCUAGGGAGUCUUCAAUAGCAAAACCAAUUGUACCCUUCUUUCCCCACAGUCUCUAUGUCCAGUAACCAGUCUGCUUGAAUUGGUUAAAUUCAAGAAAUAUGACAGUAUAUCAGUGAGGUAACACCUGAGCUGCUGGAUUUCCACAUAAUUUAUUAACAUUAGGAAGAUUUUCAGCAGUUUUUCAGUCAUUUGGGAGCUUAAGAGAACUAUUUCUAGACUAUAUCUUUCCAGACCUUGCAGCAGUAUUCAAUAUUUAUAAGGAAUUCCCUGCCUUAGUAGCAACAACUGACGAUUACGAAAAAUAAGUACGCUAUAAAAAGCAGACAUAGAAUCAUAGAAUCGUUUGGUUGGAAAAGACUUUUGAGAACAUAGAGUCCAGUCGUACCUGUCAGUACUAGACCAAACCCCUGAGCACUUCAUCCACCCAUCUUUUAAAUCCCUCCAGGGAUGGGGACUCCACCACCUCCCUGGGCAGCCUCUGCCAGGGCCUGAGAACCCUUUCAGGGAGGAAAUUUUUCCUAGUAUCUAGUCCAAACCUCCCCUUGCACAACUUGAGGCCAUUCCCUCUCAUUCUAUUGCCUGUCACUUGGGAGAAGAGACCAACAGCCAUCUUCCCACAACCUCCUUUCCAGGAGCUGCAGAGAGCCUCCCUUUCUCCAGGCUAAACAAUCCCAGUUCCCUCAGCUGCUCGUCAUAAGACUUGUUCCCCUUCCCCAGCUCCGUUCCCUUCUCCAGAUGUGCUCCAGCCCUUCACUGUUUUUCUUGGAGUGAGGAGCCCAAAACUGAACCCAGGAUUCGAGGUCAGCCUCACCGAGUACAGACAGGUGAUCACUUCCCUGUUCCUGCUGGCCAAACUCUUUCUGAUCCAAGCCAACAUGCCAUUGGCUUCCUUGGUCACUUGGGCCACUGCUGGCUCGUGUUCAGCCACUGUCAACGAACACUCCCGGGUCCUUCUCUGCCUGGCGACUUUCCAGCCAUUCUUCCCCAAAGCCUGGAGUGCUGCAUGGGGUCGGUUGUGUCCCAAGUCCAGGACUCGGCACAAAAUUAAUCAUAGAAUCACCAGGUUGGAAAAAACCUCUAGGAUCAUCAAGUCCAACCAUCCCUAUCUGUCACUAAACCAAGUCCCUGAGCACCUCAUCUACCCGUCUUUUAAAUAUCUCCAGGGACGGAUUCUGCCAAAGACUGCUAGAUGAGAAUAUUUCCAGCUUUUGCCUGACUGGUAGAUGUCUAGUUUGAGCAAAUAGAUCUUGAAAGGUCUUGGAAAGGAGAGGGUGCAUGGGAAUUUGCAGCAGCUACAGCAAAAGAUUUUCCUCUGCUUACACAAUAAAUCAGCAGCAGCAUCAGGGACAGAACCAGUCUUCAGGUUUCUACUCCAGCCACUGAUUCAGAGACCCACGCUGUGUAUGAAGCGCUCAGAUAUUGCAAUAGGAUUCUGUAACACAUGAAUAAAACCCUCCCCCAUCCUCUAAAUAACAUUUUGAGAUCGUGCUGAAUCUAAGCUUUUCUGCAAAAAUGCGAACGGCUCACGUUUAAUGAUGCAACAGAGAGAAAAGAUAA